rnacentral:lncRNA from 1 species
GGAAAUGCAUGUGCUAUCAGCACCACAAAUUCAGGCAGCCCUGUUACAUCAACUUGAUGUAUUCGUGGCAACCCUAACCCCUUCCCCCUGAAGUUACCUGUUGGCUGGGCACUGGAGCUGUCAGGUCAUGAAGGAUAACAACGUUAUGGGACUAAAGGAGAGCAAGGCACCAGGGAAGGAGACUCGCUUCACGCUGUCUACAUUAGGCACAGGGCAGCUCUGGGAAAACAGCACUUCUGCAUCAAGUGUGCGGGAAGACAUCAGCUCUGCAUGCUGAUCUGGAAGCACUUUGGAGAUGUUCACUAAUGGAGAUUAUUGCCCUGAGGGGAAAUGGGAAGUCAAGGAAGCACCUAGUGUAAUUGCUUGCAGUCUCGGAGGAUCCUGCUUGCUGAAGGAAACGGCAUUGGAGCUUUUGAGCCGACUUCAAGUGCAUUCAACAGAGACUUGAGGACCUCACAACUCAGCAGCACCGAGGAACAAAGUGACGCGCAGCAGCCGAGCAGAGCAGGACGCUCCUCUCAUGGCUGCUCUGAACCAGCCAGCAGGGAGCCAGCAUGGGACAGGGACAGGAGCACACAGACAUCAGUUCUUACUUACUUAGCCAUGUUUCCUU